UUAUCUCUGCCCGGUAGAUGCUUCAUCACAGAACCAGAAGUGAGGAGGAGAGUGCGUACACACCUGUCAUAUAGCACUAUUGGGAGCAGGCCUAUUUAUAGCUGACUACCGCCACCACCACCCUGCAGCCUGAAAGUCACACCAGGAGAUUUUGGGAGGGAAGUCCUUGAGCUACUCUGUCAAUGCGAAGCAUUGCAGUGACAAUUUUGCAGAUGAGGUUGGUCACUGUGGAGACGCACUGCACCGUUCCCUACGCUAAAGCACAAGCUACAUCCUUCAAAGACAGAUGGUAAGUACAUACUGUCAGAAAUCCAGUGUGUGUACAUAUCUCAUCCCAUCUGCACACACAUGCACAUGCAUGUACACAACUUCUAAUCCUAUUAUCAACUGUAGUAGUCCAGUUGUUAUCAUUGUCACAUGGUGAGCUGUCGUUACAAUUACAGAUGUGUUCAUCUUUAUGUGAUGUGGUCACUUUUGCUACAAUACUAAGCACAUAGCAAGAAGAGCUGCUGUACCACAGUUACAGUUAUCAAUUUAGAGUGAAGGGGAGGAAAAUCGGUUAGUGUAAAAACUUACUUUUUUAUCUUUUUGAGAAAGUUCCAGAAAGAUAUUAAUUAUCCACUCCUGGCUACUGUACAGUGUCUUCUGUUUGCUCUGUGAAAGUCCCAA